AACGCACAUUGCGCCCAUUAGUAUUCUAGUGGGCAUGCCUGUUCGAGCGUCAUUUCAACCCUCAAGCCCUAGCUGCUUGGUAUUGGGAGCUUGUCUGCGGACAACUCCUCAAAAGCAUUGGCGGAGUCGCGGUGACCCCAAGCGUAGUAAUUCUUCUCGCUUAGGUGUGUUAACGCUGGCGUUCAGCCACUAAACCCCCUAUUUUCUAGUGGUUGACCUCGGAUCAGGUAGGAAUACCCGCUGAACUUAA
rnacentral:misc_RNA from 1 species